rnacentral:rRNA from 1 species
UGUUGUUUUUCUGAAAAUCAAUUUAAGAACUGUUCAUUUUUAGUUGUUAAGACUUUAUCGGCUUACUGCUAUUUUUUGGAUUUUUCUUGAAUGCACUUUUCAGUUAACAAGUCAACAUCAAUUUCUUUUGUUGUAAAACGGUAAAAGGAAGGUGGCUUUAUCUUCGGAUGAAGUGUUUAUAGCCUUUUACUUCUGCAAUCGGAGAGAUUGAGGUCUGCAGCGUAGAUCCUUCGGGGUUAGAUACUUCUAUGCUAAGCUAUAGUCCUAUAUAGACAACUUGUUGACUAUGUUCGAUCCUGUAACCUACUCGUAGAUACUAUUUUACCUAC